UAGAGGUACCAUAGAUUUAAAGAGAAAUAGAGAAAAGAGAUGGAGAUGAAGAGGUCAGAUCAAUGGCAUUGAUGAAGGUCAGUUAAGAAGUGAAAUUAACAACUGCGUGCAAAUGAAACAACUAAAAGUAACUUAACAGCCGACAGAUUAUCAACUUCUAUUAAUAUGAUUAACAUUUAAAUCAUUUGGAUAAAAACAACGAUCAUGAACAUGAGCAAUAUUUAAUUACAACAAUCAUCAACUUCAUCAAAUCGCAGUGAUUACGGAAGAAAGUCAACAAAAUAUAAGUUAAUUUCAAUUCUACUCUCAGUUUAUAAUUCAAUAACUAACAAUAACCACUAAUAAUGAAGAUAAUAACACCAUCAAAUGAUAAUGAUAACAAUAAUCGACUGAUUGAUUUCAUUGAUUCAUUUUUCCUCACCUGGAAUCAACAGAUUAUUGUUAUUAUUAAAUUUUGAUUACUAUUGUUAUCAUUGUAGUAACAAUCCCACCCAAUCCUCAACAAGUUAACUGUUGAUAAAAGUGAAGAGCAGCUGAUUUAAUAUUUCUAAUAAUAACUCAUAGAUGAUUAACUAACUAACUUACUAACUGUUGAUUAUAAGGAAAAAAAAGUCAUUUCAAUUGUAUACUAAGAUCAACAUCCAUAGUUAAUCAAAUGAAAUGAAAAGUUUUUUUCAAAAAAAAAAUAUAAGCAAAUAAUGAGUAUCAACUUGAUUGUUGAAUACAAGAGAGGUUGAUAAAUUGUCCAUUGGUUAACCAUGAUCAUGAUUAAAUAUAAUAAAUGAUUACGAUUUAACAACGACAACAUAAGUUUGAUUGUUGUUAUGUCUCUUCAGAGAGAGCAGAAAAAAAAUUGUAAAGGUUAAUCAUAAAUCACUUAGAAGAAUCAACGAGAGAGAGAGAGAAAGAAAGAAAAAAAAGUGAAGCAGAAGAAAAGAAAGAUAAACCCACUUCCCGUUGUUUUCUUCCACCUCCUCUUCUCUCUCAUCAUCAUCUUCACCAUCAUCUCUUGAUCAUCAUCAUCUUGACACUCAAAAAAAACCCAUAGCUUUCAAUGUGAAUUAUAUUCAGUAAAAAGGUCAACAGUUCAUGAAGAAGGAACCAAAAAGAGAUGACACAAAAAAUGUCAAGUAUCAACUUUUGGAUGUUAAAGGUCACCACUACUACCAAAUACAUACACACACACAAGCACAGGAUGAGGUUUGGACAUCCUCUUGACCUCACAUCUUUUGGACCUACGGGGACAAAAAAAGCUCAAGAUAAAAAAAGUUAAAUCACAAAAUCAGCUUUAUCGAUCCACUCGAAUUAUCGUCUUCAUCUUUUAUCACCUCCAUCAUCUUCCUCAUCAUCUCAAUAAUAUUUUGAAAAUGUUUGAAUAUUAUUGAGCUGUUUUUACUAUUACCAUUUUACUUGAUUGUUGUUGAUACAAUCAAGUAAUUUAUCUGGGUGAGGUUAGUUUUAGAUAAUAAUAUAUAUUUAAUAUUAUAUAUUUAUGAUUGAGAUAAUUCAAUAAUCAGAAUUAUCUUCUUAAUUAUCUUUCUUCAUCUUCUUGUUCAAUGAAGGAUAAGUAACACAAAUUACAAGAUAAAGAUGUUAAAUCAUCUUUAAAUUGAAUUAAUUGACUUGAUCUCAUUGAUUAUUAUUUUUGUUUUCUUCAACUGAUUAUCAUCAUGAUGGUUUUAAUUUUAAUUCAUGGUGCUAUGAAUUAAUUACAUUGAAUCAAUUAACUUUAGUGAAUUAUUUGAGUUUAUAUAUGUGUGUGGACGUUAAUUAUCAUAAUCAUCUUGAUUAUCAUCAUUAUGAUCAGUUAAAUGAUGUCAUAUUUAUCACUUUGAGAAAACAAAAUUGUUAUUUAAAAAAAAUGAACCAAAUUAAUAUAUUUAUUAACGCCUACAGAAUCAACUAAUCAUUUCAAAUUAACUCUAAAUUAUUAUCAUUAAACUAAUCAACUUGAACAAAUUAUGUUCACCAAGAAGAAAAUUAACAAAAUUAAUUGCUCUAGGCUCUGUUUUAUGUCCACUAAUCAUAAUCAUGUAAUAUUUGUUAAUAAUAAUGACGAUCACAAAUUGAUUGUCAUUGAUUAGUCUAAAUUGUUGAAGCAAAACAUGAUAAAAAAAAGUAAUCAAAUCAAAUCAAAUUUUGUACAAUAAUAAUGGUAUUACAAUCAACUGACAUAGUUGUCAAUCAAUUGAACAUUUUUAUUGUUGAUUGAAAUUGAUAAUAUCUUAUUAAAAAGAAACGGAAAUGAUGAAGAAGAUGAUUUUUCUUAUUCUCUCUCUUCAACUAUUCAGUUUCUUUUGUUUCUCUUUCUUUAGCAUAAUUAUCAUUAUUUUUAUCUUCAUUUCAACUUGUCAAUAAGUUUCCGUUUCCCGUUUCCCUUAUCAUUGACACGAGAAGAUGAAAAAUAGGAAGAGGAGGAAGGAGAAAGAAAGGAAAAAGAUAAAGACGAUGCUGCUGCUGAAUCAUCAGAUCUUCAUCUCACCCCCUGAACUGAACAUAAAAUUUAAUCAAACAUUAAUUCAAUUAAAUCCAUGAUGAUGAUGAGAAUGAUGAUACAAUGAAUCGCUUUGAUGAUGAGAAAAAGCAAAAAGUGAUUAACAUUGAUUUCUUUGUAAUUAUCAUUAACACGAUAAUCUAUAAAAGAUUCAAUUGAUUGAUCAGACAACACAAACUCUGAUUGUUAUCUAUUUUUUUUUCCUAAACGAUAAUUAAGUUAAAUCAACGUAAUUUAACAUCAAGCAAAAAGUGAAUUCAAUGUUUACAAUUUAAGUUAAUUGUGUGAUUCUGUUUAAUAUCAGUAAGAUUAAGUGACAAGAUCAAGAUUCAAGUCAUGAAACAAUUUAAUCUCUGGAUCAAUCAAAUGAAAGAUUAUCAAACUGAUGUCUAAUUAAAAUCACAAGAAGAUUAAAUUGUAAUUAAAACUAAUCAAUACAAACUAACACACCACACACAUACAAAAAGUUUCUCAUUAUCAUUAUAUUAAUCAGGAGAUGAUUAAUAUAUUUGUCUUUGAAUAUAUCAAAGACACAAUGAUGAUAAAGAUGAUGAUGUUAUCAACAUCCUCCUCCUCCUCCUCAUCCUAAUCAGUCACACCCAAAAAUAACAAUCAAAUGAUGAUGAUGAUGAUUCAAUUUAUUAACAAUGAAUGAGAAAAAGUGUCUUGGAAAGGUGACAAAAAAAAAGAGAUGAAGAUGAAAAUUCAUCAUCUCAUUGACCUCCUACUGAUGGUGAUAAUAUUCAUCAUAUUUUUCAUCCUCAUGCAAAGUAAAUCAAAGAUGAAG